rnacentral:rRNA from 1 species
GACGAACGCUGGCGGCGUGCUUAACACAUGCAAGUCGAACGGAAAGGCCCCUUUGGGGGUACUCGAGUGGCGAGCGGGUGAGUAACACGUGCGUAACCUGCCCUUGUCUUCGGGAUAACUUCAGGCAACUAGGGGUAACACCGGAUUGGAAUCAUUGCUGCCUGGUGGGGGUUGGAAAGCUUCCGCGGUGUUGGAUGGACUGGCGGCUUAUCAGCAUGUUGGUGGGGUAGUGGCUUACCAAGGCUUUGACGGGGAGCCGGCCUGGGAGGGCGAGCGGCCCCAUUGGGACUGGGAUACAGGCCAGACCCCUACUGGGAGGAGCAGUAGGGGAUAUUGCACAAUGGGCGGGAGCCUGAUGCAGCAACGCCCCGGGCGGGAGGACGGCCUUCGGGUUGGGAACCGCUUUCAGCAGGGGCCGAGCUUGUAGUGACGGUACCGGCAGAAGAAGCACCGGCUAACUACGUG